rnacentral:rRNA from 1 species
AGAACCAGGGCUUCGGCCCUGGGGACAGCGGCGAACGGGUGAGUAACACGUGGGCAACCUGCCCCGGACACCGGGAUAACCCAGGGAAACCUGAGCUAAUACCGGAUACUCCGGCGUGAUCGCAUGGUCGCGCCGGGAAAGCUCCGACGGUCCGGGAUGGGCCCGCGGCCUAUCAGCUUGUUGGUGGGGUAACGGCCCACCAAGGCGACGACGGGUAGCUGGUCUGAGAGGACGGCCAGCCACACUGGGACUGAGACACGGCCCAGACUCCUACGGGAGGCAGCAGUGGGGGAUCUUGCGCUAAUGCGCGAAAGCGUGACGCAGCGACGCCGCGUGGGGGAUGAAGGCCCUCGGGUUGUAAACCCCUUUCGGCAGGGACGAAGGGAAACUGACGGUACCUGCAGAAGAAGUCCCGGCUAACUACGUGCCAGCAGCCGCGGUAACACGUAGGGGACGAGCGUUGUCCGGAUUCAUUGGGCGUAAAGCGCGCGUAGGCGGCUCGGAAAGUCGGGCGUGAAAUGCCGGGGCUCAACCCCGGGACUGCGUCCGAUACUUCCGAGCUGGAGGUAGGUAGGGGAGAUCGGAAUUCCUGGUGUAGCGGUGAAAUGCGCAGAUAUCAGGAGGAACACCGGUGGCGAAGGCGGAUCUCUGGGCCUUACCUGACGCUGAGGCGCGAAAGCUAGGGGAGCGAACAGGAUUAGAUACCCUGGUAGUCCUAGCCGUAAACGUUGGGUGCUAAGUGUGGGCGGACAUCGACCCCGUCCGUGCCGAAGCUAACGCAUUAAGCACCCCGCCUGGGGAGUACGGCCGCAAGGCUAAAACUCAAAGGAAUUGACGG